CGCGCAGUUCCGGUAGGUUUUGGUAGCCAUGUACCAUUCAUUCGGCGUCCGUUUGUCGCGGUGAUCGUGCAGCGCGUAAUACAAAUCCGGCGUCCGUCAGCAAAACGAAAACCCCAGACCAUUGAGAAAAAAAAAGACCUGUACAAUUUUGUAUUGGUAAACCGGAGAAAACCGACGUCGUGAUUCUGCCACGUCCGCGCGAUAUAUUCAAACGGACGCCCGCGUCCCGCCAUAAUACUAUUUUUGUUAUUAUUAUUCGUAAUCAGCAGCAGUUCCGCGGUGGUCGUCGCGUAAGGUAACGACAACAGCGA